rnacentral:miRNA from 1 species
ACUCUCACCGGCCAAGAGGAAUCCCUCUCGGUUGAUGAGAGUGUACACUCUCACCGGCCAAGAGGAAUCCCUCUUGGUUGAUGAGAGC